rnacentral:rRNA from 1 species
ACUCCUACGGGAGGCAGCAGUGGGGAAUAUUGGACAAUGGGCGCAAGCCUGAUCCAGCCAUGCCGCGUGAGUGAUGAAGGCCCUAGGGUUGUAAAGCUCUUUCACCGGUGAAGAUAAUGACGGUAACCGGAGAAGAAGCCCCGGCUAACUUCGUGCCAGCAGCCGCGGUAAUACGAAGGGGGCUAGCGUUGUUCGGAUUUACUGGGCGUAAAGCGCACGUAGGCGGACUAUUAAGUCAGGGGUGAAAUCCCGGGGCUCAACCCCGGAACUGCCUUUGAUACUGGUAGUCUUGAGUUCGAGAGAGGUGAGUGGAAUUCCGAGUGUAGAGGUGAAAUUCGUAGAUAUUCGGAGGAACACCAGUGGCGAAGGCGGCUCACUGGCUCGAUACUGACGCUGAGGUGCGAAAGCGUGGGGAGCAAACAGGAUUAGAAACCCUUGUAGUCCC